GAGGCUAAUCAAUGAAAUUGAGCCCACAGUACAAACGCUGUAAUAAACACAUAAGACGAAAAGACCCUAUGGAGCUUUAAACCCCUGUACUACCGGAAGCAUUAGCCUAAACCCACCUAGUACACAUUUUUAGUUGGGGCAACUGCGGAGCAAAACAAAAACUCCAUGACAAGCACAUAAUAAGUGCACACCCCUGGCCGCCACGCCAUAUUAAUACCCGACCCAGUAUAACUGAACAUCGAACCAAGUUACCCUAGGGAUAACAGCGCCAUCUUCCCCCAAGAGCCCAUAUCAACGGGGAGGCUUACGACCUCGAUGUUGGAUCAGGACCCCCAGGCGGUGCAGCCGCUGCCAACGGUUCGUUUGUUCAACGACUAACGUCCU
rnacentral:rRNA from 1 species